rnacentral:sRNA from 2 species
AAACCCUGCCUGCCGGUCGUCAUCCUGAGCACUCAGGGCAGGGGUGGGGGACCCACCGCACACGGCGCGCCGAUCCGACCAGGUGGCGCGCCUCGGGGUGAAGCCGGCAUCGCCGGCCGGGCACCGAUCGCCCGAACCCGACAGCUAACCCCGGCGGCGGUGAUCGGAGAUCAC